rnacentral:rRNA from 1 species
AAAAAAGGUAAGCUACUAAGAGCGAAUGGUGGAUGCCUUGACUGGUAAAGGCGAUGAAGGACGUACUAGACUGCGAUAAGCUACGGGGAGCUGUCAAGAAGCUUUGAUCCGUAGAUUUCCGAAUGGGGCAACCCAAUGUAUAGAGAUAUACAUUACCUAUAUAGGAGCGAACGAGGGGAAUUGAAACAUCUUAGUACCCUCAGGAAAAGAAAUCAAUAGAGAUUGCGUCAGUAGCGGCGAGCGAAAGCGCAAGAGGGCAAACCCAGUGCUUGCACUGGGGGUUGUAGGACUGCAAUGUGCAAGAGGUAAGUUUAGCAGAACAUUCUGGAAAGUAUAACCAUAGAGGGUGAUAGUCCCGUAUGCGAAAAACAAACCUUAGCUAGCAGUAUCCUGAGUAGGGCGGGACACGAGGAAUCCUGUCUGAAUCCGGGUCGACCACGAUCCAACCCUAAAUACUAAUACCAGAUCGAUAGUGCACAAGUACCGUGAGGGAAAGGUGAAAAGAACUGAGGUGAUCAGAGUGAAAUAGAACCUGAAACCAUUUGCUUACAAUCAUUCAGAGCCCUAUGUAGCAAUACAGGGUGAUGGACUGCCUUUUGCAUAAUGAGCCUGCGAGUUGUGGUGUCUGGCAAGGUUAAGCAAACGCGAAGCCGUAGCGAAAGCGAGUCUGAAUAGGGCGCUUAGUCAGAUGCUGCAGACCCGAAACGAAGUGAUCUAUCCAUGAGCAAGUUGAAGCUAGUGUAAGAACUAGUGGAGGACUGAACCCAUAGGCGUUGAAAAGCCCCGGGAUGACUUGUGGAUAGGGGUGAAAGGCCAAUCAAACUUCGUGAUAGCUGGUUCUCUCCGAAAUAUAUUUAGGUAUAGCGUUGUGUCGUAAUAUAAGGGGGUAGAGCACUGAAUGGGCUAGGGCAUACACCAAUGUACCAAACCCUAUCAAACUCCGAAUACCUUAUAUGUAAUCACAGCAGUCAGGCGGCGAGUGAUAAAAUCCGUCGUCAAGAGGGAAACAACCCAGACUACCAGCUAAGGUCCCUAAAUCUUACUUAAGUGGAAAACGAUGUGAAGUUACUUAAACAACCAGGAGGUUGGCUUAGAAGCAGCCAUCCUUUAAAGAAAGCGUAAUAGCUCACUGGUCUAGUGAUUUUGCGCGGAAAAUAUAACGGGGCUAAAGUAAGUACCGAAGCUGUAGACUUGCACACAACUUAGAUUAUUUAAGUUUAGAAUAUGAGAAACUAAGUUAUAUGUUUAGUUAUAUUUUUACUGAUUUUUAUAGAGUAAAGAUAGAAAUAAAACUUAGUAAAAUCAGUAAAAAUAUUCUUAGACUAAAGUUAAGUAGUUUAAGUUGUGUGCAAGUGGUAGGAGAGCGUUCUAUUUGCGUCGAAGGUAUACCGGUAAGGAGUGCUGGAGCGAAUAGAAGUGAGCAUGCAGGCAUGAGUAGCGAUAAUUAAUGUGAGAAUCAUUAACGCCGUAAACCCAAGGUUUCCUACGCGAUGCUCGUCAUCGUAGGGUUAGUCGGGUCCUAAGUCGAGUCCGAAAGGGGUAGACGAUGGCAAAUUGGUUAAUAUUCCAAUACCAACAUUAGUGUGCGAUGGAAGGACGCUUAGGGCUAAGGGGGCUAGCGGAUGGAAGUGCUAGUCUAAGGUCGUAGGAGGUUAUACAGGCAAAUCCGUAUAACAAUACUCCGAGAACUGAAAGGCUUUUUGAAGUCUUCGGAUGGAUAGAAGAACCCCUGAUGCCGUCGAGCCAAGAAAAGUUUCUAAGUUUAGCUAAUGUUGCCCGUACCGUAAACCGACACAGGUGGGUGGGAUGAGUAUUCUAAGGCGCGUGGAAGAACUCUCUUUAAGGAACUCUGCAAAAUAGCACCGUAUCUUCGGUAUAAGGUGUGGUUAGCUUUGUAUUAGGAUUUACUCCGAAAGCAAGGAAACUUACAACAAAGAGUCCCUCCCGACUGUUUACCAAAAACACAGCACUCUGCUAACUCGUAAGAGGAUGUAUAGGGUGUGACGCCUGCCCGGUGCUCGAAGGUUAAUUGAUGGGGUUAGCAUUAGCGAAGCUCUUGAUCGAAGCCCGAGUAAACGGCGGCCGUAACUAUAACGGUCCUAAGGUAGCGAAAUUCCUUGUCGGUUAAAUACCGACCUGCAUGAAUGGCGUAACGAGAUG